AACGAACGCUGGCGGCAUGCCUAACACAUGCAAGUCGAACGAGACCUUCGGGUCUAGUGGCGCACGGGUGCGUAACGCGCGUGAACCUGCCCUUAGGUUCGGAAUAACUCCCCGCAAGGGGUGCUAAUACCGGAUAAUGUCUUCGGACCAAAGAUUUAUCGCGUUUGGAUGGGCCCGCGUUGGAUUAGCUAGUUGGUAGGGUAAAAGCCUACCAAGGCGACGAUCCAUAGCUGGUCUGAGAGGAUGAUCAGCCACACUGGAACUGAGACACGGCCCAGACGCCUACGGGAGGCAGCAGUGGGGAAUAUUGGACACUGGGCGAAAGCCUGAUCCAGCAAUGCCGCGUGAGUGAUGAAGGCCUUAGGGUUGUAAAGCUCUUUUACCCGGGAUGAUAAUGACGGUACCGGGAGAAUAAGCUCCGGCUAACUCCGUG
rnacentral:rRNA from 1 species